UGUAGCUGCCUUUGUCAUUUGCCAUACUGUGAUGAUGGAUUAGGGAACACUGUGACAAAGAACAGAGUCUCAGCCUUCUCUGCACCUGCUCACACAAUAAAAUACAGGAUUUUCUUCUGUUCUAGGAAAGGUACAGAAUUUAUCAUGAAGACAAGGAAAAGCAGCCUGCCUCUUCACAGAUAUUUUGGAAAUAGCUUAAUGACAGAUCUACAACUUCUUCUAGGCUAAGAAUUGAAAAUUCAGGGCUCCUAGAUGUGUCAACAAUCCCACAAGGUCAACACAAGCAAUGAAUUGUUGCUUCCCUUUUCUCUGUACUAAAGGCAAGAAGGGCCCAGAUUUGAAACUUGAAAAGAAUAAAUCUUAACCAUAAACACUAUCUUUCA
rnacentral:lncRNA from 1 species